rnacentral:rRNA from 1 species
AUGUGGAAUGAUGAUUUUAAAGUUUUUGUUCAUAGUGCUUCCUUUCACUAUAUUUUAGCCAAUGUAGUUCAUCUAGCCUCGGGGAUGCACUUCUGUUUGAUCUGUAUAUAUGGUGAUCCCUAUCAUAGGCAAACUAGUGCUAUUUGGAAUCAAGUUUCCACUUUUGUGUAUGAUAACCUGGGCAAGCCUAUGAUUUGCAUGGGAGACCUUAAUGAUAUUUUGUAUGAUACAGAUGGUUGUAAUGGUAGUGUAAAUUAUUAUCGUAUGUCUGCUUUU